rnacentral:rRNA from 1 species
GAGAGGUGCUGCAUGGCUGUCGUCAGCUCGUGUUGUGAAAUGUUGGGUUAAGUCUCGCAACGAGCGCAACCCCUAUCGUCUGUUGCCAGCAUUAAGUUGGGCACUCUGACGAGACUGCCUGGGUUAACCAGGAGGAAGGUGGGGAUGACGUCAAGUCCUCGUGGCCCUUAUGUCUAGGGCUACACACGUAAUACAAUGGCGCGUACAUAGGGAAGCGAACUCGCAAGGGGGAGCAAAUCUCAAAAAGCGCGCCUCAGUUCGGAUUGGAGUCUGCAACUCGACUUCAUGAAGUUGGAAUCGCUAGUA